AGAGAAUUCUGUAGAGUACAGCUCCAUCUGUAAGUAGAUGACAAUUUCUUGGCAACACAGGCUCAGCUGAGGAUGGUGUUUGUGCAUCUAAGCCAUCAUGCUAGAGCAGUUUGCCUACAUUUUUGUGGAACGGCAAAGAGGACCUGCUUGACCACCCUUCUUUCUGUGGGUACUGAAAGAUGAAAAGUCAUGCUGGAUGAGGUUGCUGAGGUGGGAUGAGGGCCAGUAGGAUGCCAUGUAUAGAGAAGGAAAGACUUGGAGCACUCCAUGUGGCCAAAGCUCAAAUCCUAAUGGCCUUGGAUGUCUAAGACCUUGGAUGUCACUUUGCUAGGUAAGAAAGGCUAGAGUGAGUUGGCACAGAGGAGGGGACACUGCCUUUGGCCACUGGCUGCUCUCCAAAACAGGUGAACUUUGUGUUUGAAAGGAAUGCAUUUAAUCAUUUGGGCCUAAUAGAAGUUACUUGUAUUUUCUCUCCUUUUUGCCCCUCCUGUCUCUCCUUUACCCCCCCCCCCCCCUUGCUGCUUCCUCAACCACCAAAGAAUUUAAUCUGCUGCACAACAAACAAUACAGUUAUAAAACUUUGAAAACAAGAGGGUGUAGCCUCUCCAACAAGGGAAAGGGCAUGCUGGAUGAUGUCCCCAGGGAACAUGUCAGGCUUGUAUAGAGCCUGUGAGAGCCUACCUGACUGGGUACCUGGGUGCCUGCUCUGCCCAGUGCUAAGCUAUCCCUAGUCCAGAGAAGGAAUCUAAAUGAAAGAGGUCAGAGAAGGGCUUAUAAAAGGGAAGCUGUGUGUUUUCUCCCUCUGAUUUGAUGGGAAUGCACUAAACUGUGCAACUUCCUCCUCCGCUUCCUCUCUCUCCUCUCCCUCCUUUUCCAUUUUCUCCCUCCUACCUCCCUUAAUCCUCCACCUCCUCCUUCUCAUUGUUCUUAAGACUAGCAGACAGAAGUCAUGAUAAUAGAAAAGGGUUAGAAUAGCAGUGUAGGUGCUACUACUGGCUGGGCCUGCCAAAGAUGAAACAGGGUUUGAGGCUUUUGCCACCCACAAGCUCAGACCUAUCUCUGCUAAGCCCAGCCUCCUUCUCUGACCUGAGGCAGUACAGCCA
rnacentral:lncRNA from 1 species